rnacentral:lncRNA from 1 species
GUGGAUUUGAUUUGGAACUCGAUUGCCUUGAUUGGCAUACUCUGACAAACCCUAAGGAGUGGUUUAUAUAGGCGAGGGCUGAAGCCCAUAAUGAUCGAAAUCUUGGGAUGUGCGAAGGAUGCCAUUAAGGAUAACUACUCUCAUGCCCAAAACAUACAAUGAGAUGUAUAUCUCACAUUAAUGGAGGUUAUUUUGUCAUUUUGGGCCAACUAUAUCCGAGUCGGAAGAGAUUCGGGCAUCUCCAUGCACUUUUCCAUAGUGGCCAUAUGGUAGAAACUAAUUGGCCAAGAUGCAGACUUCAUAGUUGAUUCAUGUCAGACUCUAAUUGGUUGGUUGUGUCACAUUGACUAUGGUCGAUUUUAAGGUGUAUCAUAAGUUAUGCCAUCAUAAAAGCCUCAGGGAUGAGAUCAACACAUUAGAAGUGAAUGAUGCAUCUAAAUGUUGC